UCCAAUCUGAGAGUUUGAUCCUGGCUCAGAGCGAACGCUGGCGGCAGGCUUAACACAUGCAAGUCGAACGGGCACUUCGGUGCUAGUGGCAGACGGGUGAGUAACACGUGGGAACGUACCUUUCGGUUCGGAAUAAUUCAGGGAAACUUGGACUAAUACCGGAUACGCCCUUCGGGGGAAAGAUUUAUCGCCGAAAGAUCGGCCCGCGUCUGAUUAGCUAGUUGGUGAGGUAAAGGCUCACCAAGGCGACGAUCAGUAGCUGGUCUGAGAGGAUGAUCAGCCACAUUGGGACUGAGACACGGCCCAAACUCCUACGGGAGGCAGCAGUGGGGAAUCUUGCGCAAUGGGCGAAAGCCUGACGCAGCCA
rnacentral:rRNA from 1 species